UACGGAGGGUGCGAGCGUUGUCCGGAAUCAUUGGGCGUAAAGGGCGCGUAGGUGGCCCGGUCAGUCCGUGGUGAAAGCGCGGGGCUCAACCCCGCGUCGGCCAUGGAUACUGCUGGGCUGGAGCACUGUAGAGGCAGGCGGAAUUCCGGGUGUAGCGGUGGAAUGCGUAGAGAUCCGGAAGAACACCGGUGGCGAAGGCGGUCCUGC
rnacentral:rRNA from 1 species